CCUACGGGUGGCAGCAGUGGGGAAUAUUGCACAAUGGGGGAAACCCUGAUGCAGCGACGCCGCGUGAGUGAAGAAGUAUUUCGGUAUGUAAAGCUCUAUCAGCAGGGAAGAAGCAAGACGGUACCUGACUAAGAAGCCCCGGCUAACUACGUGCCCGCAGCCGCGGUAAUCCGUAGGGGGCCAGCGUUAUCCGGAUUUACUGGGUGUAAAGGGAGCGUAGACGGUAUGGCAAGUCUGAAGUGAAAGCCCAGGGCUGAACCCUGGGACUGCUUUGGAAACGGUUAGACUAGAGUGGUGGAGAGGUAAGUGGAAUUCCUAGUGUAGCGGUGAAAUGCGUAGAUAUUAGGAGGAACACCAGUGGCGAAGGCGGCUUACUGGACAGUAACUGACGUUGAUGCUCGAAAGUGUGGGUAUCAAACAGGAUUAGAUACCCGAGUAGGC
rnacentral:rRNA from 1 species